rnacentral:rRNA from 1 species
UACGUAGGGUGCAAGCGUUGUCCGGAAUUAUUGGGCGUAAAGAGCUCGUAGGCGGAUUUGUCGCGUCUGCUGUGAAAACUCGGGGCUUAACUCCGGGCCUGCAGUGGGUACGGGCAGACUAGAGUGCGGUAGGGGAGACUGGAAUUCCUGGUGUAGCGGUGAAAUGCGUAGAUAUUGGGAGGAACACCAGUGGCGAAGGCGGCUCACUGGACCGGAACUGACGCUGAGGCGCGAAAGCGUGGGGAGCAAACAGG